rnacentral:piRNA from 1 species
UGGUUUUUAUCAUGAAGCGCUGUUG